rnacentral:rRNA from 1 species
UACAGAGGGGGCAAGCGUUAUUCGGAAUUAUUGGGCGUAAAGGGCGCGUAGGCGGCUUUUCAAGUGACGGGUGAAAUCCCUCGGCUUAACCGAGGAACUGCCUGUCAGACUGGAAGGCUUGAGACCGGGAGAGGUGAGUGGAAUUCCCAGUGUAGCGGUGAAAUGCGUAGAUAUUGGGAGGAACACCAGUGGCGAAGGCGGCUCACUGGACCGGAACUGACGCUGAGGAGCGAAAGCGUGGGGAGCAAACAGG